UGGGGAAUAUUGCACAAUGGGGGAAACCCUGAUGCAGCGACGCCGCGUGAGCGAUGAAGGCUUUCGAGUCGUAAAGCUCUGUCCUAUGGGAAGAUAAUGACGGUACCAUAGAAGAAAGCACCGGCUAAUUACGUGCCAGCAGCCGCGGUAAUACGUAAGGGGCGAGCGUUGUCCGGAAUUAUUGGGCGUAAAGAGUGCGUAGGCGGCAAAUUAAGUCAGAUGUGAAAACUAAGGGCUCAACCCAUAGAUUGCAUCUGAAACUGAUAUGCUUGAGUCAAGGAGAGGAAAGUGGAAUUCCUAGUGUAGCGGUGGAAUGCGUAGAUAUUAGGAGGAAGACCGGUGGCGAAGGCGACUUUCUGGACUUGAACUGACGCUGAGGCACGAAAGCGUGGGGAGCAAACAGG
rnacentral:rRNA from 1 species